rnacentral:rRNA from 1 species
UACGAAGGGGGCUAGCGUUGCUCGGAAUCACUGGGCGUAAAGCGCACGUAGGCGGAUUGUUAAGUCAGGGGUGAAAUCCUGGAGCUCAACUCCAGAACUGCCUUUGAUACUGGCGAUCUCGAGUCCGGGAGAGGUGAGUGGAACUGCGAGUGUAGAGGUGAAAUUCGUAGAUAUUGGCAAGAACACCAGUGGCGAAGGCGGCUCACUGGCCCGGUACUGACGCUGAGGUGCGAAAGCGUGGGGAGCAAACAGG